CUCAAAUUGUAAUUCCAAAUGUUACAGGUGCCUCUGCGCUGCUUCUCCUCACACUAGGACACCAUCCCACCACUGCCACCACUGUAACGGAUCACCUGGCACCCCGACUGGGUACCUCUGUUGAAGGAUGCUCCUAACGCUUCUUGAAGACCCCAAGCCCGCUAGCCGACACCACAACCACCGCAGGCCAAACCUCUCUUCAUUCAAAGCGAAGCAGUGUAACCGUGUGUGGUUCCCUUAUUUACCACUAUAAUGUCUUAAAGCAUAGAACUUAGUAGGGCUAAC